UCAUUAUCUUCCUGCGCACACACACAAUCUGGUCUCUCCAUCUUCUACAACUGAACCCUAGACAAACUAACUCAGUCAAGCAACCCCCCCCCCCUCUUAUUAUCGGCCGGCCACCACCAUCUUUUGGUGGUGGCGGACUACAGCAGCAGCAGCAACAACACCACCACAGGCGGCGGCGCUGUGGUGGGUGGUGCCGAGUGAUGUUUCAAGCUAGAGAGAGAGAUAAGCUGAUGAGGGAGACUGUUCGAGAGAGAAGUGACGACAGGGAGAGGAAGACACGGGAGCCGAUGAAAGAAAGAAGCGCCGACGGUGCACGGCGACGGUUGCGUCGGUCGUCUGCAGCGGCGGUGGAUUCCGGUCAGCUGGCAAGUCUCGUGAGUCUCGGGUCAGACUCAGUCUCGGUCUGGGUCGGGUCUAGUUUGGUUAAGAUUCGAGUUAAUUGGUGAUGAUUAUGGCAGUUGGGUUUUGAUCAGACUUGAUACAAGUUUGGGCUCGGGUCAGUUAACAAGUCGUCGCGGAUCAGAUUUGGUUUAGUUCAAGUUUCGGCUUGGAUUUCGUGCUCCGAUUUUGAUUUGGUUCGAGAGUUUGGGUCAGGUUAACCCAUGUCAGACUUUGGUUCAUGUUUGGUGCAAGUCAGGUUUCGGCUUGGGUUCGAGUCAACUCAGUUAACGGGUCAACACCAAUCAACAGCGGUCAACAGAAGUCAACGAAAGACCUGGUAAAGUUGUUAGCGUAGCGAGUUAGUCUACCUUAGAUUUUAUUUAGUUUACGCGACCGAGCUCGACCCUACUCGACUAAGUAUUAGUUUGCAUUUCGAUAUACUUGAUGAAAACUUUAUAUAGAUUGUUUAUAUUAUUGAAAAAUUGUUGAAUUUUGAAAUUAUACAAUGACUUCUAUUG